rnacentral:rRNA from 1 species
GUGGCCUGCGGAGCUUCGCUCCCAACCCAUGUGACCAUACCAAACUGUUGCCUCGGCGGGGUCACGCCCCGGGUGCGUCGCAGCCCCGGAACCAGGCGCCCGCCGGAGGGACCAACCAAACUCUUUUCUGUAGUCCCCUCGCGGACGUUAUUUCUUACAGCUCUGAGCAAAAAUUCAAAAUGAAUCAAAACUUUCAACAACGGAUCUCUUGGUUCUGGCAUCGAUGAAGAACGCAGCGAAAUGCGAUAAGUAAUGUGAAUUGCAGAAUUCAGUGAAUCAUCGAAUCUUUGAACGCACAUUGCGCCCGCCAGUAUUCUGGCGGGCAUGCCUGUCCGAGCGUCAUUUCAACCCUCGAACCCCUCCGGGGGGUCGGCGUUGGGGACCUCGGGAGCCCCUAAGACGGGAUCCCGGCCCCGAAAUACAGUGGCGGUCUCGCCGCAGCCUCUCCUGCGCAGUAGUUUGCACAACUCGCACCGGGAGCGCGGCGCGUCCACGUCCGUAAAACACCCAACUUCUGAAAUGUUGACCUCGGAUCAGGUAGGAAUACCCGCUGAACUUAAGCAUAUCAAUAAGCGGAGGA